rnacentral:ncRNA from 1 species
CAGGUGCGCUUACACAUACCGAAAAGGGAACCCCGUGGGAAUCGGGGACGGGCCCGCCGCUGUGACCCGGCCUGUUCGAUUGGACAGGGAUUGUUCCGGCAUCGAUCGGCCACUGUUCCGAUGGUUGGGGGAUGGGAAGGCCGCCGGAAAGGACGGGAAGUCAGAAGACCUGCCUGGGCAUU